UCAGCUUUACCAUACAUAAAGCUCACUUUUAUUUCUCUGAUAAUUAGGCGUGCUUCUAAUCCAAGCAAGAGGCCGACACAUGAAGAUCUUCGCAAUUUGCUCAAGAAACUGCAGAAAAUGAUGGAUAGACUUGGAUAUGGACCAUCUAGAGAGAGACCUAGAGCAUUGCCCACAAGAUAUAAGUCUACUAUUGCCUCUGGAUCUUCUCAAAGAGGAAUGUUAAGUGUUCAAGCAAGUUAUGAACAUAACGAAGUUCCUGU
rnacentral:lncRNA from 1 species